UGCAUUUUAGAAGUUGAGGAAAAUCACUUGUUCAAUGGUAUUGGCCCAAAAUGACCUAUAAUGUUUCCUCAUAACACAUAAAUUUAAAAGUUGAAUUUGCACUUAAUCUAAACAUCAAAUUUGAAGUAGACAUCUUCAAUACGAUCAUUCAACUUGAAUGGCUUUCAUCUCAUAAAAAUUGAGCAAGUUAUGGUCUUGGGAAUUUGACCUCCAAAUUAUGGUUUAGACAAAAUGACCUAU
rnacentral:lncRNA from 1 species